CCUACGGGUGACAGCAGUGAGGAAUAUUGGUCAAUGGACGAGAGUCUGAACCAGCCAAGUAGCGUGAAGGAUGACUGCCCUAUGGGUUGUAAACUUCUUUUAUAUGGGAAUAAAACGUUCCACGUGUGGGAUUUUGUAUGUACCAUAUGAAUAAGGAUCGGCUAACUCCGUGCCAGCAGCCGCGGUAAUACGGAGGAUCCGAGCGUUAUCCGGAUUUAUUGGGUUUAAAGGGAGCGUAGGUGGAUUGUUAAGUCAGUUGUGAAAGUUUGCGGCUCAACCGUAAAAGUGCAGUUGAAACUGGCAGUCUUGAGUACAGUAGAGGUGGGCGGAAUGCGUGGUGUAGCGGUGAAAUGCUUAGAUAUCACGAAGAACUCCGAUUGCGAAGGCAGUUCACUGGACUGCAACUGACACUGAGGCUCGAAAGUGUGGGUAUCAAACAGGAUUAGAUACCCUAGUAGUC
rnacentral:rRNA from 1 species